GUACUUACCUGGCAGCGGAGAUACCAUGAUCACAAAGGUGGUUUUACCAGGGCAAGGCUUAUCCAUUGCACUCCAGAUGUGCUGACCCCUGUGAUUUCCCCAACUAUGGGAAAAUUGACUGCAUAAUUUGUGGUAGUGGGGGACUGUGUUCGCGCUUUCCCCUG
ensembl:snRNA U1 U1 spliceosomal RNA